AUUGAACGCUGGCGGCGUGCUUAACACAUGCAAGUCGAACGAGUGGCGGACGGGUGAGUAAUGCUUGGGAAUCUGGCUUAUGGAGGGGGAUAACGACGGGAAACUGUCGCUAAUACCGCGUACCAUAGGAUGAGCCCAAGGGGGAUUAGGUAGGUGGUGGGGUAAUGGCAUACCAAGCCGACGAUCUAUAGUUGGUCUGAGAGGAUGAACGUCCACAGUGGGACUGGGACACGGCCCAGACUCCUACGGGAGGCAGCAGUGGGGAAUAUUGGACAAUGGGCGAAAGUCUGACGGAGCAACGCCGCGUGAGUGAUGACGGCCUUCGGGUUGUAAAGCUCUGUUAAUCGGGAGACGGUACCGGAAUAGAAAGCCACGGCUAACUACGUGCCAGCAGCCGCGGUAAUAC
rnacentral:rRNA from 1 species